rnacentral:rRNA from 1 species
UAACACAUGCAAGUCGAACGGAAAGGCCCUGCUUUUGUGGGGUGCUCGAGUGGCGAACGGGUGAGUAACACGUGAGUAACCUGCCCUUGACUUUGGGAUAACUUCAGGAAACUGGGGCUAAUACCGGAUAGGAGCUCCUGCUGCAUGGUGGGGGUUGGAAAGUUUCGGCGGUUGGGGAUGGACUCGCGGCUUAUCAGCUUGUUGGUGGGGUAGUGGCUUACCAAGGSUUUGACGGGUAGCCGGCCUGAGAGGGUGACCGGCCACAUUGGGACUGAGAUACGGCCCAGACUCCUACGGGAGGCAGCAGUGGGGAAUAUUGCACAAUGGGCGGAAGCCUGAUGCAGCAACGCCGCGUGCGGGAUGACGGCCUUCGGGUUGUAAACCGCUUUCGCCUGUGACGAAGCGUGAGUGACGGUAAUGGGUAAAGAAGCACCGGCUAA